AAAAGAAAAUGAAAAACCUCAAAAAGUUGAAGAAACAGCAAUAAAAGUAAAAUAUGGUAUGUAUAUGUGUUGAAACCUCUCCCCCUUUGACAAUGAAUUUCAUCAAAACCACAUAAAAAUAUUUCCCCCGCUUCAAAAGUUUUUUUCUUUAAACUAAAAGCGAUUUUUUUUGUUUUAAACUAAAAGAGAUAAUAAUUCGGUAGUUAUUGCCUUCUGCCAAUCUUUCCAAUCCGACCUCUUCUUACAAUCAGCGAGUGAGUUAGGCUUGGGGUCAAGAUCAAUGAUUGUGGUAAUUUUCUUGGCAAAGUUUAUGUCGACAUUAGCAGUCGCUCGGUUUAUUGAUUCUCCCGUGUUAACAUAAUCUAUGGCCAUUUAGUCAUGGGGCGCAUCAUGCGCAUCCUCUGUCUCCACAGGAUUUCCCAUUCCUGGAGGGAGGUCCUUUAGUUUUUCCGCGCCGAUGUGUGCGCUCACAUCUCCGCUGGGUGCUUCCACUGUUGGAAGGUUAAAGUCC
rnacentral:lncRNA from 1 species